UUACAUAUAUGGGCAAAGAUCUUAAAAUCAUUAUAGUGAAAACAGUUUUAUAAAAUUUUUAAACAUGAAAAACUUAUUAAACUUUGUACAGAUUUUGAAAAUAUCUAGAAAAUUAUAUUUGUCUGAAAAUAUAAAUGAAAAUGACUGGUAUUAUUUUAAACAAUGGAAUAGGAUGUUGAGAGACCUCAGAUCUGAUCAUCUUUCUCUGGUUCUGGCGGUUUUCUUAGCACUGGAACCGGUCUCCUUUUGUAUUUUAUUUAUCUUUUUGGCGGAUCUGUGCACUUUCAUCUAGGUUCUAUGCGGUGAUAGCUACGGUUCUGUUCUUUCUUUCUCUCCGAUGUGGACCGGCUGUCUUUGUAUGUCCUUUUGACAAGGCGUUUUUGGUUCUUAGCUGAUUGGUUUGGGUUGUGGUCACUCGGGUCCUCUGGUUCUUUCUCCUAGAAGCUCUGUUUUGAUUUUGUAUAUUCUCUCUCUCGAAGAUGCCUGAGUGGUCUUGUAAUUGACGCUCUUGAGAUUUCUCACCUCAAUCGACAGUUUUUUCGGUUCGUCUCUUACAGAUCCCCUACCAGUCUACCUUGAUCUGUUGUAACCGGUUCGGGAAUCUUACUGCCGCUUUUCUUUUGGAUGGCUCAAUAAUGUCUACGGCUGUUCUGUUAAAGCGGGUUUUGAUUGCUCUGGAGGGAACUCACGGCUUCGACAGCCCAAUGACAUGCUGUGGCGAGGGUGAAGUGAGAAGUCCGGUUUCAGUCGUACUUAUCUUAUCUUUUGUAGUUUCUGUUAAGCUUUCAGCUAUUUUGAUCCUUUAUGUUUAACUUGCCAGUUUUGAUUCGUUCUUGUGUGGUGUUUGUGAUUAUCGUUUUUAAAUUAUCUCCCAUGUGUGGGCUUUAGACUCCGGAGACAUUCAUGUCGUCUGCCGGCUUAAGAUUCACGGAGUUUUAUAAACCCCCAUCUUUGUUUGUAUGUUUCAGUUUCUAAUCAAAAUCUUUCCGA